AGGCGCAGGGCAUAGCACUGAGCGACGUUUUUGGCGGGGAAUACCCAGCUGAAUGGGUAAGGGCAGUGUGGGCUUUCGGGGGUCCUACGGCUCCUCACGGCCUCAGAUCUCAGAGCGGCUCAGCCCGGCUCGCCGAGAGGUCCCUAUGACCCUCAUGUGUAGGGCUGCCGUUGUGCUGCGAAGAGUUUAACAAUAUGAUGCAACAUUGUGAAAUAGAGCUAAUCAUCAAAUAAACUCACACGGAUUGUAGUCUGCAAUCGACUACAUGAAAUAGGAAUCACGAGUAAUCGUGUAGUAGUGCGACACGGUGAAAAU
rnacentral:ncRNA from 1 species